AUUCAGUGCGCACAGGAAAAGCUUGAUUAUAGCUACUACUGCUUGUUUUCUGCUUUUCAGAAAAAAUAGUGGGUUUGUUGUAAUUGGGAAGCGGCCAGACAACCGUAGAGAUGGAAUCCACAGAUCUUGAGUUUUUUUCUCACACUUCUACUAAUUCCAUCUCACAUUU
rfam:Medicago truncatula strain A17 chromosome 3, whole genome shotgun sequence.